UUUCCGUAGGUGAACCUGCGGAAGGAUCAUUACCGAGUGAGGGUCUCUCAGGCUCGACCUCCCACCCUGUGUUUUUGUGACCUUGUUGCUUUGGCGGGCCCGCUUCGAUGCGAGGCCGCCGGAAGCUGACCGCUUUGGGCCCGUGCCCCUCAGUAGCCCCCUUACAUUCUUAAUAAACCUGUCGUCUGAGAUAAUGGCUAUAAUGAAAAAAAACUUUCAACAACGGAUCUCUUGGUUCCG
rnacentral:misc_RNA from 1 species